AUACAUGCAGUAGAACGCUGAAGAGAGGAGCUUGCUCUUCUUGGAUGAGUUGCGAACGGGUGAGUAACGCGUAGGUAACCUGCCUUGUAGCGGGGGAUAACUAUUGGAAACGAUAGCUAAUACCGCAUAACAAUGGAUGACACAUGUCAUUUAUUUGAAAGGGGCAAUUGCUCCACUACAAGAUGGACCUGCGUUGUAUUAGCUAGUAGGUGAGGUAAUGGCUCACCUAGGCGACGAUACAUAGCCGACCUGAGAGGGUGAUCGGCCACACUGGGACUGAGACACGGCCCAGACUCCUACGGGAGGCAGCAGUAGGGAAUCUUCGGCAAUGGGGGCAACCCUGACCGAGCAACGCCGCGUGAGUGAAGAAGGUUUUCGGAUCGUAAAGCUCUGUUGUAAGUCAAGAACGGGUGUGAGAGUGGAAAGUUCACACUGUGACGGUAGCUUACCAGAAAGGGACGGCUAACUACGUGCCAGCAGCCGCGGUAAUACGUAGGUCCCGAGCGUUGUCCGGAUUUAUUGGGCGUAAAGCGAGCGCAGGCGGUUUGAUAAGUCUGAAGUUAAAGGCUGUGGCUCAACCAUAGUUCGCUUUGGAAACUGUCAAACUUGAGUGCAGAAGGGGAGAGUGGAAUUCCAUGUGUAGCGGUGAAAUGCGUAGAUAUAUGGAGGAACACCGGUGGCGAAAGCGGCUCUCUGGUCUGUAACUGACGCUGAGGCUCGAAAGCGUGGGGAGCGAACAGGAUUAGAUACCCUGGUAGUCCACGCCGUAAACGAUGAGUGCUAGGUGUUGGAUCCUUUCCGGGAUUCAGUGCCGCAGCUAACGCAUUAAGCACUCCGCCUGGGGAGUACGACCGCAAGGUUGAAACUCAAAGGAAUUGACGGGGGCCCGCACAAGCGGUGGAGCAUGUGGUUUAAUUCGAAGCAACGCGAAGAACCUUACCAGGUCUUGACAUCCCGAUGCUAUUUCUAGAGAUAGAAAGUUACUUCGGUACAUCGGUGACAGGUGGUGCAUGGUUGUCGUCAGCUCGUGUCGUGAGAUGUUGGGUUAAGUCCCGCAACGAGCGCAACCCCUAUUGUUAGUUGCCAUCAUUCAGUUGGGCACUCUAGCGAGACUGCCGGUAAUAAACCGGAGGAAGGUGGGGAUGACGUCAAAUCAUCAUGCCCCUUAUGACCUGGGCUACACACGUGCUACAAUGGUUGGUACAACGAGUUGCGAGUCGGUGACGGCGAGCUAAUCUCUUAAAGCCAAUCUCAGUUCGGAUUGUAGGCUGCAACUCGCCUACAUGAAGUCGGAAUCGCUAGUAAUCGCGGAUCAGCACGCCGCGGUGAAUACGUUCCCGGGCCUUGUACACACCGCCCGUCACACCACGAGAGUUUGUAACACCCGAAGUCGGUGAGGUAACCUUUUGGAGCCAGCCGCCUAAGGUG
rnacentral:rRNA from 1 species